UACGGAGGAUGCGAGCGUUAUCCGGAUUUAUUGGGUUUAAAGGGCGCGCAGGCGGCGUGUCAAGUCAGCGGUAAAAUGUCGGGGCUCAACCCCGGCCGGCCGUUGAAACUGGCGUGCUCGAGUUGGAGAGAAGUAUGCGGAAUUCGUGGUGUAGCGGUGAAAUGCAUAGAUAUCACGAAGAACCCCGAUUGCGAAGGCAGCAUACCGGCUCCACACUGACGCUGAGGCACGAAAGCGUGGGUAUCGAACAGG
rnacentral:rRNA from 1 species